AGGACGAACGCUGGCGGCGUGCUUAACACAUGCAAGUCGAGCGGUAAGGCCUUUCGGGGUACACGAGCGGCGAACGGGUGAGUAACACGUGGGUGAUCUGCCCUGCACUUCGGGAUAAGCCUGGGAAACUGGGUCUAAUACCGGAUAUGACCUCCUAUCGCAUGGUGGGUGGUGGAAAGAUUUAUCGCCCAGGGAUGAGCCCGCGUAGGAUUAGCUAGUUGGUGAGGUAAAGGCUCACCAAGGCGACGAUCCUUAGCUGGUCUGAGAGGAUGAUCAGCCACACUGGGACUGAGACACGGCCCAGACUCCGUACGGGAGGCAGCAGUAGGGAAUAGUUGGACAAGUGGG
rnacentral:rRNA from 1 species